GGGGGCGAACGGGCUCGACAGGGCUGGUUCGACUUACAGUUGCGAGCCGAGGAGCCGAUGGCCUCGUUAAAAUCGGCAAAACAAUAACUGCCAAUAACAGUUACGCCUACGCUGCUUAAUUAACGCAGCGCGUUUGAUCAGUGCCGAGCCGGUAGGCUUGAUUCAGACGUCGCGAAAUCCGGAUCGUCGGGGUCUCUUCCGUCUGUAGAGACACCGCCUAAAACAACCAGACUAGGUGGAAAGCUAGGUUGCCCUGCGCUAGGCCUCCACCGAACAUAAUCGUGGGGAGACGCUCGUGGUAACUUUGAGGCCGACAGUUUUGGAAGGGAGUUCAAUUCUCCCCGCCUCCACCA
rnacentral:tmRNA from 1 species